rnacentral:rRNA from 1 species
CUACGUAGGGUGCAAGCGUUAAUCGGAAUUACUGGGCGUAAAGCGUGCGCAGGCGGUUAUGUAAGGCAGAGGUGAAAUCCCCGGGCUCAACCUGGGAACUGCCUUUGUGACUGCAUAGCUAGAGUACGGUAGAGGGGGAUGGAAUUCCGCGUGUAGCAGUGAAAUGCGUAGAUAUGCGGAGGAACACCGAUGGCGAAGGCAAUCCCCUGGACCUGGACUGACGCUCAUGCACGAAAGCGUGGGGAGCAAACAGGAUUAGAUACCCUGGUAGUCCACGCCCUAAACGACGUCAACUGGUUGUUGGGUGCAUUAGUACUCAGUAACGAAGCUAACGCGUGAAGUUGACCGCCUGGGGAGUACGGCCGCAAGGUUGAAACUCAAAUGAAUUGACGGGU